rfam:Rattus norvegicus chromosome 4, whole genome shotgun sequence.
GGGGAUUUAGCUCAGUGGUAGAGCACUUGCCUAGGAAGCGCAAGGCCCUGGGUUCAGUCCCCAGCCCCG